rnacentral:lncRNA from 1 species
UUGCAAUGCUAUGAUCUUUGAUGUUGUGUUUUGUUAUAUAUGUGGGUUAACUACAGGCAGUUCUAAUAGACCAAAUCAGCUUAUUUGGACUACCGGGGUUCGAGAUGCCUAGCCCAUAAGAGUCUAAUUGAACCUGACAGGGAUGCUGUUGCCCUCAUCUUAAGCCUGUGGAUUGAUAGUUCAUUUUAGGGAAAGCAGGAUUUAUCCCAAAACCCUGAUGGGGUCAGUCAUAAUCUUCCAGUGUAGGGUACUGUGUUGAUUUGUACUUGUCUGUCCUUCCAUUUCUAUAAUGUCGUGCAAAAGGACACUACCACUGCAAGAAGAUGGAUCCACAGCAUCCUGAAGAUGGAAUCCAGGCAAUCAGUGAGAAGUGCUGGAAAAUAAUUGCACUGCAUAUGGAUUCAGAACUAUUUAACGCUGGCUUGACUUCCUUCUGCUGUUUCAGUGUUCAAGUGACCUUGAAGAUUCAACUAUCUACAUCUUAACAAUAAAUGAGCCUCAUAUGUCUAUAUUAUUCUUUUU